rnacentral:rRNA from 1 species
AGGGAAUCUUCCACAAUGGACGAAAGUCUGAUGGAGCAACGCCGCGUGAGUGAUGAAGGUUUUCGGAUCGUAAAACUCUGUUGUAAGGGAAGAACAAGUGCGUUAGGUAAUGAACGCACCUUGACGGUACCUUAUUAGAAAGCCACGGCUAACUACGUGCCAGCAGCCGCGGUAAUACGUAGGUGGCAAGCGUUGUCCGGAUUUAUUGGGCGUAAAGCGAGCGCAGGCGGUUUUUUAAGUCUGAUGUGAAAGCCUUCGGCUCAACCGAAGAAGUGCAUCGGAAACUGGGAAACUUGAGUGCAGAAGAGGACAGUGGAACUCCAUGUGUAGCGGUGAAAUGCGUAGAUAUAUGGAAGAACACCAGUGGCGAAGGCGGCUGUCUGGUCUGUAACUGACGCUGAGGCUCGAAAGUAUGGGUAGCAAACAGGAUUAGAUACCCUGGUAGUCCAUACCGUAAACGAUGAAUGCUAAGUGUUGGAGGGUUUCCGCCCUUCAGUGCUGCAGCUAACGCAUUAAGCAUUCCGCCUGGGGAGUACGGCCGCAGGGCUGAAACUCAAAGGAAUUGACGGGGGCCCGCACAAGCGGUGGAGCAUGUGGUUUAAUUCGAAGCUACGCGAAGAACCUUACCAGGUCUUGACAUACUAUGCAAAUCUAAGAGAUUAGACGUUCCCUUCGGGGACAUGGAUACAGGUGGUGCAUGGUUGUCGUCAGCUCGUGUCGUGAGAUGUUGGGUUAAGUCCCGCAACGAGCGCA